AGAGUCUGAUCCUGGCUCAGAAUGAACGCUGGCGGCGUGCUUAACACAUGCAAGUCGCACGAGAACGCUUUAGCUUGCUAAAGCAAGUAAAGUGGCGCACGGGUGAGUAACGCGUGGGCAAUCUACCUCCGAAUCGGGGAUAACAUUGCGAAAGCGAUGCUAAUACCGGAUGACAUCCUGAAGGCUUUGGUUUUAAGGAUCAAAGGUGGCCUCUACAAGUAAGCUACUGUUUGGAGAUGAGCCCGCGUACCAUUAGCUUGUUGGUAGGGUAACGGCCUACCAAGGCGACGAUGGUUAGCUGGUCUGAGAGGAUGAUCAGCCACACUGGAACUGACACACGGUCCAGACUCCUACGGGAGGCAGCAGUGAGGAAUUUUGCGCAAUGGGGGAAACCCUGACGCAGCAACGCCGCGUGAGUGAUGAAGGCUUUCGGGUCGUAAAGCUCUGUCAAGUGGGAAGAAACCACGAGGUGAUAAUAUCGCUUUGUGCUGACGGUACCACUGAAGGAAGCACCGGCUAACUCCGUGCCAGCAGCCGCGGUAAUACGGGGGGUGCAAGCGUUAUUCGGAAUCAUUGGGCGUAAAGGGCGCGUAGGCGGUUUGUUAAGUCAGAUGUGAAAGCCCGGGGCUCAACCCCGGAAGUGCAUUUGAUUCUGGCGGACUUGAGUAUGGGAGAGGGAAGUGGAAUUCCUGGUGUAGAGGUGAAAUUCGUAGAUAUCAGGAGGAACACCGGUGGCGAAGGCGACUUCCUGGACCAAUACUGACGCUGAGGCGCGAAGGCGUGGGCAGCAAACAGGAUUAGAUACCCUGGUAGUCCACGCAGUAAACGGUGAUCACUAGGUGUAGCGGGUAUUGACCCCUGCUGUGCCGCAGUUAACGCAUUAAGUGAUCCGCCUGGGGAGUACGGCCGCAAGGUUAAAACUCAAAGGAAUUGACGGGGGCCCGCACAAGCGGUGGAGCAUGUGGUUUAAUUCGACGCAACGCGAAGAACCUUACCUGGGUUUGACAUCUCGGGGAUUUUUUGGAAACAAGAAAGUGCCCCUCGGGGAGCCCGAAGACAGGUGCUGCAUGGCUGUCGUCAGCUCGUGUCGUGAGAUGUUGGGUUAAGUCCCGCAACGAGCGCAACCCUUAUCUUUAGUUACCAUCACUUCGGGUGAGCCUGCGAGCACUCUAGCCAGACUGCCUGUACAAGCAAGAGGAAGGUGGGGACGACGUCAAGUCA
rnacentral:rRNA from 1 species